GUGCUUGCUUCAGCAGCACAUACACUAAAACUGGACCAAUAUAGAGAAGAUUAGCAUGGCCUCUGCGCAAGCAUGACAUGCGAAUUUGUGAAACAUUCCAUAUUUUU